AUCUUUUAUUAAUUUCUGCCAAAUUUAGAUUUGUUUGAAUGUACCUAUAUUGAUUUAUGUAGAAAAUGUUGAAUAAAAAAAGAGAAAGGAAGAAAAAGUAAGUGAAGUACGAGAAAAACGAGAAAAAGUGAGUCAAAUUUUCUACCAAUCCUUCCAAAAUGAAAAAACCUAGUUUCAUGAAAUUGAGAACCGAAGUUGCACCCCUUCUUAGUAGCGACCGCGGAAAUAUUACGCCGGCUACGUUCUGCAUUGGAGAGGUAAAAGGCACAUUUUGUUUGUUCUGAAAUGGUUAAAAGACGCGACUUUUCGAACCCCGCAACGGCGGGCGGCGGAGAAACUUUUGGAAGUGUUGUUAAGCGACGCAGAUGAUGGAAGAAACAGGAUGAUCCAGAAAAUGAACCGAGGGGAAAGAGGUUCAAAAUAGGGAGAAGAAAAUAACAUCAUUACAUGGAGUUUUCUCCAUUACGUGUACUUUGCAAAAGUUAUUGUAAAAAAUUAAUGCUUCUGAUGCAAAAAUUGUGCUUUCUCAAGCAAAUAAUCUUGCGUUCAAUGCAUUGAAAUUUAGUUCAACAAAA